UUCCUCACACCAUAAAUACACGUUCACUAUUUUUCUCUGCAAUUUCCGAUCGCAUUUUCCCGCACUGAUCCACAGUAGACACAAGAUCGUUGUACGCCAAUGGCGAAGAAGGAGUUUCUAGAGGAUCAUCAAGAGGAAGCCGAUGGCGCAAACGCUAAACAACUAUCUCGCGAUGACUUCCCUCCAAACUUCUUCUUCGGCGUUGCUACUUCCGCUUAUCAGGUUGAAGGAGCUGCCGAGGAGGGAGGAAGAGGUCCUAGCAUCUGGGAUGAAUUUUCACAUAUUAAGGGCAAAAUUCUUGAUGGCAGCACUGGUGAUGUGGCUGUGGAUCAAUAUCACAGAUACAAGGAAGAUGUUGAACUUAUAGCAAAAUUGGGAUUUGAUGCUUACCGUUUUUCAAUAUCAUGGUCCCGCAUAUUUCCUGAUGGUUUGGGCACCAAAGUCAAUGUUGAAGGGAUUAGUUACUACAAUAAUCUAAUCAAUGCACUUCUCGAAAAGGGAAUUCAGCCUUAUGUAACAUUGUACCAUUGGGAUCUUCCUUUGCAUCUUCAUGAGGCAAUUGGAGGGUGGUUGAAUAGAGAAAUUGUAAAUUACUUUGCAAUCUACGCAGAAACUUGUUUCGCAAGUUUUGGUGAUAGAGUAAAGAACUGGAUUACAAUUAAUGAGCCUCUUCAAACUGCCGUAAAUGGAUAUGGAAAUGGUAUCUUUGCUCCAGGAAGAUGGGAAAAUUCAUCAGUUGAACAAUAUUUGGUUGCACACCACCAAAUCUUGGCCCAUUCAACUGCUGUAUCAAUCUAUCGAAAGAAGUAUAAGGAACAUCAGGGAGGGCAAAUAGGCCUGUCUGUAGAUUGUGAAUGGUCUGAAGCUAAUUCAAGUAGUGUUGAAGACACGACUGCUGCAUCAAGACGCCUUGAUUUUCAUCUCGGGUGGUACCUGCACCCAAUAUAUUAUGGAGAUUAUCCUGAAGUUAUGCGUGAACAACUUGGAGAUAACCUUCCGAAAUUCACUGAAGAAGAAAAGGAGUUGAUUAUGAAUAGUGUGGACUUUGUGGGUCUGAAUCACUACACAUCAAGGUUUAUUGCUGAUGUAGCAGAGAGCCCUGAUCAAGGUGAUUUCUACAAAGCACAAAAGAUGGCAAGACUUGUUCAAUGGGAAGACGGUGAGCUUAUUGGCGAGAAGGCGGCAUCAGAAUGGCUCUACAUUGUUCCUUGGGGCAUCCGAAAGGUUCUAAAUUACAUAACACAGAAAUACAAUAAUCCAACUAUCAUCAUAACUGAGAACGGCAUGGAUGACGAAGAAAAUGACCUUUGCCCACUUCAAGAUAUGCUUGAUGACAAACUGAGAGUUAGUUAUUAUAAGAAGUAUCUGGCUGAAGUAGCUAAGGCAAUCAGGGAUGGAGCAGACGUUAGGGGUUACUUUGCAUGGUCAUUAUUGGACAACUUUGAGUGGGCUCAGGGAUACACCAAGCGAUUUGGAUUGGUUUAUGUAGACUACAAUAAUCACCUUACUCGCCACCCUAAAUCUUCUGCUUACUGGUUCCUGCGCUUCCUCAAAGGUUCUGAACAGAAAAGUGGGAAGCAAGAGUGAAACACUCCCUUUUAAGUUUUAACUUUCAUUAUUUAGGGGGCGAAAUGUUGGUUGAAGCAGGCCCCAGAAGGAUUUGUGAUUAGAGAUUGGAAAAACUUCUCUCCAGGGGUCUGUUUGUUUUUUGAGAAUUGAGAUGUCUGAAAUCUUUAGAUGUUCGGAAUCUUCAGAUGCCUGGAAUUUCAGAUGUCCGACAUCUUCAGAUGCCUGGAAUUUCAGAUGUCCGACAUCUUCAGAUGACCACGUUUUGUUUCGUAGACCGAGAAUAUCUAGAUAGCCACGUUUGUUUCGUAGGAUUUAUUCUUCUAAAUUUAUAU